rnacentral:SRP_RNA from 1 species
CGUCGGGUCCCGGGCGAGCGAGCGGUGUGAACCUGGUCAGGCCGGGAACGGAGCAGCCAUAAGCAUGCGGCGCGCUGUGUCCGGGGUGCCUGACGGUU